UACGAAGGGGGCUAGCGUUGUUCGGAAUUACUGGGCGUAAAGCGUAUGCAGGCGGAUCGUUAAGUCGGGGGUGAAAUCCCGAGGCUCAACCUCGGAACUGCCUUCGAUACUGGCGAUCUUGAGUCCGGGAGAGGUGAGUGGAACUCCGAGUGUAGAGGUGAAAUUCGUAGAUAUUCGGAAGAACACCCGUGGCGAAGGCGGCUCUCUGGGACGGUACUGACGCUGAGACGCGAAAGCGUGGGGAGCGAACAGG
rnacentral:rRNA from 1 species